rnacentral:lncRNA from 1 species
GGCGGGGCGCGGCGCGCGAGCUGCUGACGCACGCGGCCGGCGGAAGGGGCGGGGAGGCGGACCGCGAGAGCCGGGACCGCGCAUCCUGGACCCCGAGCCCCGAGACGUGGACCCGGACCACGAGCCCCGAGGCCCGGGACCAGACCGCGAGAGCCGGGAACGCGGACCCCGGACCACGAGCCCCGAGAGCCGGGACUGCAGACCCCGGACCACGAGCCCCGAGACCUGGGACCGGACCGCGAGAGCCGGGACCGCGGACCCCGCACCCCAAGACCUGAGACCCGGGACCGCGGAUCCCGGACCCCGAACCCCGAGACCCGGGCCGCGGGCACAGCCCGGGAGGAGAGGCCGCGCGGCCCGCCCGGGGUGGCGGCGCCCCGGAGGUCUCGGCGCGGCUGCCGCAUCCCAUCCCGGGGUCCCAGCCCGGACGAGGCUCCGUCCUGGUCCCCCGGGGCCGGCCACCUGGAGGAGGCCUCAUCCCCGGGAGCCGGUCACCUGAGGAGGACCCGUCCUCAUCCCUGGGGUCCCAUCGCCCGAGGAGGCCCAGGAGGCGGGUCACGGCGGGCGGCCGCAGGGGCACGGGUGGGCAGGCCGCCGGAGCUCGGCGGUCGGGCGCCCCUCCCGGUGGAGCAGGGACCGUGGCCGCGCGGUGUCCCGGCGCAGGUGCCGAGCCGCGGAGACGCCCCUGCUCGCUCCACCUUGGCCGUGACGGCGUCCUCGGUUCAUUUAGGAAAAAGACCCCCAGACUUGCAGGUGUCCACGGAGGGGUCCCAGCUCCCAGGACGUCGGAAAGGUGGGACUGCCCCCCGCCCCGGGCCCGGGCUCCCCUCCGGGAAACGGGGCGGUGCGAGCGGCCUCCCCCGAGCGCCCGUGGGGAGCAGGGCUGCGGACGGACGGCGGCCCCGACUCUGAACCCGCUCGGCGUGGGGUCCCUGCAGGAGGCUGAGACCGCGGGCCUGUCGGGGCGCGUGGGAGGCCCGCCGUCUGCGGCUCCCCGCGCCUUCCCGGGGCUGAGCAGCCCGAGGGGGGCCCUUCAACCUGAGCAGCAUCUUCGGGGAGGAGGCUGUCAAGACUUCUGUCCCAGAGCUCUGCAGUAACUGCCGUUAACGUGAGGGUGAUGAGAGCUGGCUCCGCCCCGUGAUUAGUGGCGCAUACUGGAGAACAGAGGCUGCCAGAAGCUGGAAUCCGCGACCCUGGAAGGGAGCAGGUUAAUCCCCGCUUGGCGUCUGAGCCUGUACUGUUUACCUCGCACUCGACUCUAAUCUGUGAGUUGAUUGUCAGCUUCAGUUUCCUGGGAGAGCACACAGCCUUAACCUGAAGUGGACCCUAACCAUGGAGAAGUCCUGCGGAAGCCAAUGGGAUGGCACAGUCAUCUCAACCCUGAGAGAAAAACGGUCCUUCCAGCCAGGGGAGGCAGGAGGAUGCGACCCUCUCUGAAGAACGUGGAGGGAAUCCGUGUUUAUUGUUUCUCUCCUCAUUUUGCCUGAGGGCAGUUCCUUUUGGCAAAAUCAUGGGGCAUGUCGGCGGGUAACAACCAGAGAGAAACCGAGACUUUCUAACCAAAGCACCAGGAAAAGAGACCCCAGGGGGCCAGAGAGCCCGGGAGUCAUCCUGGAGAGGAGAGGCCUGGAAAGCAGCUCACCAUUCUGUGUACGAGCAGACACACGUGCCCAGCGCUGCAUGUGCAAGGCAGAGCAGAAGCACGUUCGAAAUGAAUCGACACUGGAACUGCCACCAACAGAGAAAGACGGGGCUGCUGUCAGAGGAUAACCAGCGCAAGUCUGCUGAAGCACAACUAAACAUGCCCCAGAGAAUUCUUUAGAAUUUUAGCACACAGGGUCUCCCAGCAUAAACAGACAGUCCUUGCUUUGCACAGCAGGACAGACCGUAAAAAUGGCCGUGCCAGCUGAAACUGUGCCCUGCAGCCAUAAUAACCACUGGGUAAAGUUAGGAUUUUCUGUGACUUUUAGAAAUUUUCAUCAAAACAUCAAAAACUCAUAUUGUCGGUUAUAAAUGUGUGAGGAAAUGAGCAAAAUAGUAAAAUUAAUAUUUAUUUUGUACAUUGCAAUCAAAAACAUUAGUAACACAAGAUUAAACUGUUUUCAGUCUUCGUGAAAAACUCACCGAGUCAUGUGAACGGCACCUGCCUUCGUAAGUGGUAUAACUUACUUCACAACUCAUCGUACUCCUUUCUAAGUUUGCAUCAGCUUCCAACGUUUUCUCCUUUGUGCUUCUAAUGUCAUGAAAUAUCUCCAGGUUCCUUUAAUGGGAGUUUUUUUGCCGGUGUCCCUUCCUCUGGGACAUCUUCGUCCUUUUUGUCACAACCACUUUGCUCACUUGUUUGAUAAAUUCACUUCACUCGGUUCCUUUGACAGCACGUCUCGACUGUCUGGCUCGUGCAGUUGCUCUGUCUUUGAUGACCCCAUUUAUGUUUGCUUUGAAUUUCACUCUCAUUGUUUCCAGCUUCCAUUUCUUCGCUGCACUUUCAUCCUUGUUGGCCAAUGCCCUCUUUGGAUGACCACUUUUGUAAACUGUCAUGUGGGUUUAUCACUGGAGACAAGGAGGCAACGCAACCACAUGCUUUGCUGUCUGUGCACAUGAGCUAAGAGGCGUGCAGUGCCCAGUCACCGACAGACUCUGCAAGAAGUGCUGUCAUCAGUCACCGAGCACGAUGCCAUCUGCUGUUCACGUGUGAUGGGUGGAGUGGGGCCACCCACACAGUUUCAGCGAGACAGAACUUCAUGCAAUUACUCACAGUUACUACACUGAGUUUAAAGACAGACAGAAUGAUGCAGCCUGUCAGUAAUCCAACACAGGAAAGCGGGUCUGCAGCCUUCGCGGGGUAGGUGCGGGCAACCUGACGUCAGUGAUCCAGCAGAGAAAGCGAGUCUGCGGCCGUCGGGGACAGAGUAAACAUUUUCGUCUCCUCUUCCUCCUGAGACAUCACUAAAAUUAGAAGAACAGAGUAAAAACUAUAUUAAAUCUACGACUAUAAAGAAAAUGGGAAGCAUCGGCAGAUCAGGGUUGUUUUGGAGGAGUGCACAGAGCAGAGGCACUGGCUCAGCGGAGUGGAGGAAGCUAAGGAGCUUGCUGCAGAGCAGCCGUCGGGGAGACAGCUGCGGCCUCGCAGAGCUGCGUGCUCACAGGACCGAGGCCCCAAACGCUGCAGACAGAGCACCGGGGCUGAAACCCGGCGCCGGCUGAGAGUCCCAAGCAGGGGCUGGUGCCCUGACCCCUCCCCCGACACAGGCCAUCAGAGAUCACUUCUUCCCUUGCCCGAAGCGAGAGACUGUAGAUUUAUUUUCUGUAGACAUUGAAAAGUAGCGGCUCCAGACACAGGGCCACCGGACACAGCUGAGAGAAGCUGGAGAGAUGAGAGAAGUCCUAGUGCUGACCACAGGGUCACUCCACUCCCGCCAUCUCUUGGGAAGCUCUUGAUUUCCUUAUUGUGGUGACACAGCAGAAGAGCGGGCUGAUUCAGUCCCCAGAAGUGGUGUGUACCUUCCAGAAGGCUGUAUGCAUUUGGCCUCUGUUUCCACCCCUGAGCUCCACGCUGGUCUCCAUUUCAGGGACUCAGUGACAACUCACUCAGUCCUGGCCCCCAAGUGGAACAGAGACAGCGUGUGCCACAUUAAUUGGUGCCACAUCUCAUGGGCAGGCUGGCGUGGACUGAGCCUGGGGAACACGUGGCUGCCACACUUCUUCCUGUCCCUGCACACAGCACCUGCUGGAGGAGGGCCUGCCUGAUUGGGCCUGAGGGCUGGCUCAUGAACUCCGGGCACUGCAGCUUCACUUGUAACAGCCAGCGUCUGGAACCAGCCAAAUGUCCAUCCACAGAAGAAUGGAUAAGCAGGUUGUGGUCUGCCCAUAUCAUGGAAUUCAACUCAACAAUAAAAACAGAUGAACUGUUUAUUCACAAAACAGCAUUGUUGACCCUCAAAAGAAUUAUGCUGAGUGAAAGAAGCCAGACGAAAAAUAAUUUUUACUGUAUGAUGGAUUCCCUGUGUAGAAAACUCUGGAAAAUGCAAAUAUAACUGAUACUCGGUGACAAAAAGCAGAUCGGGGGUUGCUUGGGAGGGGAGCAAAGGAGCACAGGAAACUUCUGGAGACGAUUAAUAAGUUCACCAUCUUUAUUGUGCUGACAUUUUCACAGAUGUCUAUGUCGAAC